rnacentral:rRNA from 1 species
GACUCGUCACACUAUCAUUAACUGAAUCCAUAGGUUAAUGAGGCGAACCGGGGGAACUGAAACAUCUAAGUACCCCGAGGAAAAGAAAUCAACCGAGAUUCCCCCAGUAGCGGCGAGCGAACGGGGAGGAGCCCAGAGCCUGAAUCAGCAUGUGUGUUAGUGGAAGCGUCUGGAAAGGCGCGCGAUACAGGGUGACAGCCCCGUACACAAAAGCGCAUGUGCUGUGAGCUCGAUGAGUAGGGCGGGACACGUGGUAUCCUGUCUGAAUAUGGGGGGACCAUCCUCCAAGGCUAAAUACUCCUGACUGACCGAUAGUGAACCAGUACCGUGAGGGAAAGGCGAAAAGAACCCCGGCGAGGGGAGUGAAAAAGAACCUGAAACCGUGUACGUACAAGCAGUGGGAGCACCCUUUGGGGUGUGACUGCGUACCUUUUGUAUAAUGGGUCAGCGACUUAUAUUCUGUAGCAAGGUUAACCGUAUAGGGGAGCCGGAGGGAAACCGAGUCUUAACCGGGCGUUAAGUUGCAGGGUAUAGACCCGAAACCCGGUGAUCUAGCCAUGGGCAGGUUGAAGGUUGGGUAACACUAACUGGAGGACCGAACCGACUAAUGUUGAAAAAUUAGCGGAUGACCUGUGGCUGGGGGUGAAAGGCCAAUCAAACCGGGAGAUAGCUGGUUCUCCCCGAAAGCUAUUUAGGUAGCGCCUCGUGAAUUCAUCUCCGGGGGUAGAGCACUGUUUCGGCUAGGGGGCCAUCCCGGCUUACCAACCCGAUGCAAACUGCGAAUACCGGAGAAUGUUAUCACGGGAGACACACGGCGGGUGCUAACGUCCGUCGUGAAGAGGGAAACAACCCAGACCGCCAGCUAAGGUCCCAAAGUCAUGGUUAAGUGGGAAACGAUGUGGGAAGGCCCAGACAGCCAGGAUGUUGGCUUAGAAGCAGCCAUCAUUUAAAGAAAGCGUAAUAGCUCACUGGUCGAGUCGGCCUGCGCGGAAGAUGUAACGGGGCUAAACCAUGCACCGAAGCUGCGGCAGCGACGCUGAUG